rnacentral:rRNA from 1 species
UGCAGUCGUGCGAGAAGUAUCUUCGGAUAUGAGUAGAGCGGCGGACGGGUGAGUAACGCGUAGGAAUCUACCUAGUAGAAGGGGAUAGCCCGGGGAAACUCGGAUUAAUACCGUAUACCUCCUUCGGGAGAAAGAGGGCCUCUCUUUGAAGCUUUCGCUAUUAGAUGAGCCUGCGUAAGAUUAGCUUGUUGGUGAGGUAAAGGCUCACCAAGGCAACGAUCUUUAGCGGGUCUGAGAGGACGAUCCGCCACAUUGGGACUGAGACACGGCCCAGACUCCUACGGGAGGCAGCAGUGGGGAAUAUUGGACAAUGGGCGCAAGCCUGAUCCAGCCAUACCGCGUGUGUGAAGAAGGCCCUAGGGUUGUAAAGCACUUUAAGUUGGGAAGAAAAGUUAUUGGUUAAUACCCAAUAACCGUGACAUUACCUUCAGAAUAAGGACCGGCUAAUUCCGUGCCAGCAGCCGCGGUAAUACGGAAGGUCCAAGCGUUAAUCGGAAUUACUGGGCGUAAAGCGCGCGUAGGUGGUUUAUUAAGUUGGAUGUGAAAUCCCCGGGCUCAACCUGGGAACUGCAUCCAAAACUGAUUCACUAGAGUACGAUAGAGGGAGGUAGAAUUCACAGUGUAGCGGUGGAAUGCGUAGAUAUUGUGAAGAAUACCAAUGGCGAAGGCAGCCUCCUGGAUCUGUACUGACACUAAGGUGCGAAAGCGUGGGUAGCGAACAGGAUUAGAUACCCUGGUAGUCCACGCCGUAAACGAUGUCAACUA